GGCUUGAUAGCGGAUGGUCCGCGCCUGCUACCCAUGUGCCUUGAACCAAUUAGCACCAGCAGGAGCCGCCCGUUCAACUCGGGCUCAAGCCU